GACCUAGUGGUGAAUGGAUCACAUUUGCUUCUCUUUGGAAAUAAUCCUAGAUCAUGCAGCAGGAGGUUCCGGUUCGAUUCCGGUUAGGUCA